rnacentral:lncRNA from 1 species
UAAAAUCCUAUUCAAAUUAUAAAUAUUUGAAAAAAAUAGGAAAAGGAUAAGAUAUUAGAAUUCAUGUGGGCGAGACUUACGUAUUAUAAUUGCUGGAAGUCUUGCCACAUGUUAAUCUGGUAUUUUUAUCCUUUUCCCUUUUUUUUUUCUAGUUUUUACACUACGAGGUAUUUACGACGAUUUCUGCUUACGUGGAAUUAACGAGUGUUAUGUUUAAAUCCUUUUACGUGGUAUUUACGACGAUUUCAUCCAACGUGGUCUUUACGACGAUUUCUGCUUACGUGGAAUUAACGAGUAUUUUGUUUAAAUCCUUUUACGUGGUGUUUACGACGAUUUCUGCCUACGUGGAAUUAACGAGUAUUAUGUUUAAAUCCCUAAAAUCCGAAACCUCCAAACCCCAAACCCCAAACCCCAAACCCUAAACCCCAAACCCCAAACCUGAAACCCCAAACCCCAAACUCCAAACCUGAAACCCCAAACCCCAAACCUCAAACCUUGAAACCUCUAAACCCCAAACCCCAAACCCCAUAUUCCAAACCCCAAACUCCAUAUUCCUUAUUUUCAUAUAUUCCAAACUCCAUCUUUAUUUUUAAAUUUCGUCGUUAUUUCCUCGUUGGCUUACGAGGUAUUUACGACGAUUUCUGCCUACGUGGAAUUUACGACGAUUUCUUAUACGUGGUCUUUACGACGAUUUGUGCUUACGUGGAAUUAACGAGUAUUAUGUUUAAAUCCCUAAAAUCCGAAACCUCCAAACCCCAAACCCCAAACCCCAAACCUGAAACCCCAAACCCCAAACCUCAAACCCCGAAACCUCCAAACCCCAAACCCGAAACCCGAAACCCCAAACCCCAUAUUCCAAACCCCAAACUCCAUAUUCCUUAUUUUCAUAUAUUCCAAACUCCAUCUUUAUUUUUAAAUUUCGUCGUUAUUUCCUCGUUGGCUUACGAGGUAUUUACGACGAUUUCUGCCUACGUGGAAUUUACGACGAUUUCUUAUACGUGGUCUUUACGACGAUUUCUGCCUACGUGGAAUUUACGACGAUUUCUUAUACGUGGUCUUUACGACGAUUUGUGCUUACGUGGAAUUAACGAGUAUUAUGUUUAAAUCCCUAAAAUCCGAAACCUCCAAACCCCAAACCCCAAACCCCAAACCCCAAACCCGAAACCCCAAAGCCCAAACCCCAUAUUCCAAACCCCAAACUCCAUAUUCCUUAUUUUCAUAUAUUCCAAACUCCAUCUUUAUUUUUAAAUUUCGUCGUUAUUUCCUCGUUAGCUUACGAGGUAUUUACGACGAUUUCUGCCUACGUGGAAUUUACGACGAUUUCUUAUACGUGGUCUUUACGACGAUUUCUGCCUACGUGGAAUUUACGACGAUUUCUUAUACGUGGUCUUUACGACGAUUUGUGCUUACGUGGAAUUAACGAGUAUUAUGUUUAAAUCCCUAAAAUCCGAAACCUCCAAACCUCAAACCCCAAACCCCAAACCCGAAACCCCAAACCCCAAACCUCAAACCCUGAAACCUCCAAACCCCAAACCCCAAACCCCAAACCCAAAACCCCAAACCUGAAACCCCAAACCCCAAACCUCAAACCCCGAAACCUCUAAACCCCAAACCCGAAACCCCAAACCCCAUAUUCCAAACC